rnacentral:rRNA from 1 species
GACGAACGCUGGCGGCGUGCCUAAUACAUGCAAGUCGAACGCAGUGGGGACGGGUGAUUAACACGUGGGUAACCUCCCAUCAGAGGGGAUAACACUUGGAAAAAGGCGCUAAACCGCUACUGAUGGAUGGAGUCGCGGUGCAUUCGCUAGUUGGUGAGGUAACGGCUCACCAAGGCCACGAUGCAUAGCCGGCCUGAGAGGGUGAGCGGCCACACUGGGACUGAGACACGGCCCAGACUCCUACGGGAGGCAGCAGUAGGGAAUAUUGGGCAAUGGGCGAAAGUCUGACCGAGCAACGCCGCGUGUGUGAAGAAGGCUUUCGGGUCGUAAAGCUCUGUUGUUAGAGAAGCGGUAUCUAACCAGAAAGCCACGGCUAACUACGUGCCAGCAGCCGCGGUAAUAC